rnacentral:rRNA from 1 species
AGCAGCCCGCCGGUAAUACGGGGAGGUGGCAAGCGUUAUUCCGGGAAUUAUUGGGCGUAAAGCGUCCGCAGGCGGGNCNUCAAGUCUGCUGUUAAAAAGUGGAGCUUAACUCCAUCAUGGCAGUGGAAACUGAGGGGCUUGAGUGUGGUAGGGGCAGAGGGAAUUCCCGGUGUAGCGGUGAAAUGCGUAGAUAUCGGGAAGAACACCAGUGGCGAAGGCGCUCUGCUGGGCCAUCACUGACGCUCAUGGACGAAAGCCAGGGGAGCGAAAGGGAUUAGAUACCCCUGUAGUCCUGGCCGUAAACGAUGAACACUAGGUGUCGGGGGAAUCGACCCCCUCGGUGUCGUAGCCAACGCGUUAAGUGUUCCGCCUGGGGAGUACGCACGCAAGUGUGAAACUCAAAGGAAUUGACGGGGGCCCGCACAAGCGGUGGAGUAUGUGGUUUAAUUCGAUGCAACGCGAAGAACCUUACCAGGGUUUGACAUCCUGCGAAUCUCUUGGAAACGAGAGAGUGCCUUCGGGAGCGCAGUGACAGGUGGUGCAUGGCUGUCGUCAGCUCGUGUCGUGAGAUGUUGGGUUAAGUCCCGCAACGAGCGCAACCCACGUCUUUAGUUGCCAGCAUUUAGUUGGGCACUCUAGAGAGACCGCCGGUGAUAAACCGGAGGAAGGUGUGGAUGACGUCAAGUCAUCAUGCCCCUUACAUCCUGGGCUACACACGUACUACAAUGCUACGGACAAAGGGCAGCAAGUUCGCGAGGACAAGCAAAUCCCAUAAACCGUGGCUCAGUUCAGAUCGUAGGCUGCAACUCGCCUACGUGAAGGAGGAAUCGCUAGUAAUCGCAGGUCAGCAUACUGCGGUGAAUACGUUCCCGGGCCUUGUACACACCGCCCGUCACACCAUGGAAGUUGGCCACGCCCGAAGCCGUUACUCCAACCCUUGUGGAGGAGGACGUCGAAGGUGGGGCUGAUGACUGGGGUGAAGUCGUAACAAGGUAGCCGUA